GUUGGCCUCAAACUUAAGUCCAAGUAAGUGGUUUUAGUAAUGCAAAUUAUAAAUGAUAUAACAAUUGAGAAGCCGCAAAACAGGCGUACUUGAAAUUUUUCAAUAUGAAGGAGUUGCCAAUGACAAUUCAUUUGCCUACACGAUUUCAUCCCAAUAUUGAACAUGUGAAACAGGACGAUGCUUGUCCUAGUAGAUGUAGCAAUAUAAUUAGAGAUCU